rnacentral:ncRNA from 1 species
GUUUAACAUAUGCGCGAGUCAUUGGGCUUUACGAAACCCAAAGGUGCAGUGAAGGUAAAGAUUUGGCUUGUCCAGGUUGAGGUGAGAUCCUGUUGUUUUGCUCAUUAAUUCCAAGCUGCGAGCAGCAGGUGCAUCAGCGGCCCGUCCCAUGAGGUAGACAUGUGGCCUUGUGCUAUGUGCACCGUCGGGGCGGAGCAAGAGCGUACAUCUUGGGACCCGAAAGAUGGUGAACUAUACUUGCGAAGGUUGAAGUCAGAGGAAACUCUGGUGGAGGACCGUAGCGAUUCUGACGUACAAAUCGAUCGUAUAAUGUGAGUAUAGGGGCGAAAGACUAAUCGAACCAUCUAGUAGCUGGUUCCCUCCGAAGUUUCCCUC